UGGAUAGAGAUGAACGCCCUCUCUCAAAAUAUCUAUCUCUUUGUCUUUCUCCAUUGCUUAUGUCUCCCUUUUUCUCACCAUCUUCAUCUCUAUCUCUCUGGAAUCAUACUCCACUUCGCUGGGUCUCUCUCUCAAAAUUUCCCAUCAACGUCUGUUGAAUCGCUCAUGCUAAUCGUCUCUAAUCUCCGUAUGUACCACCGUAGUCCCAUCCUUUCAACCCUAUUUGUCGUCCCGAAAAACCCUAGGUUCAUAAUCCAAUUGGAGUUUUCUUCAAUGGCGUCAUCAAAGGUGAUAAAUAAGAAAAAUUUUCUCUCUCUCUCUCUUGCUCUGUUCUUUUACUGAUUGGAGUUUUCUUUGAGGUUGGGUUCAGUGAGCAGAGACGAGCGAGGGUUCGACAUGACCAAAUGGCACCACUUGAACUGCUUUCCCAUGAAAUCAGAGUCAAUUGCCUCACCAAAGGCAAUCAAAGGGUUCUCUUUGCUGAAGAAAAUGAUGAGAAAGGAAGGGAAAGAAUGAAGAAAAUCAGUUAGUUUUGGCAGCAAGGCGAAUCGAUUUAUCUAGGGUUUCGAGUGCGGUGUUAUUGUCUCUGAUCAUGUAUGGGAAAAGCAGGUGGCGUUGGAUGUGGAUCGUUGGAAACAAUGAGUAGAAGUUCAACGAUGAAGAGAUGUAGAUUUGCUUUCUCUAUUCAAUCAGAUUUGCUUUCUCUCUCUCUCUCCGAUCUGCUAACAUGGUAAUAUCAGAUCUGCUCUGUCUCUCUGCCUUAAGGAGGUAAUAGUGACUAUAGUGUGACUGAUUUCUUUUUUUCUUUUUUUUCUUUCUUUCUUAAAUUCAUCUAUAGUGGCCUCAAGUUACUUUGGGAUUAAUAUUUGUUUGAGAGAUACCGUAAUGUUUGGGAUUUCUUAUUUUAAAAGUUAAGUGAGAUUAUCUACUUCUUCAGACAAAGCCUUAUAUGUUAAAAGGACUAAUAGAUAUGAAUGUUUAAUAGAUAUGAAUGUUUGAUUAACUGAUGUUUGGGAUUUCUUAUUGCAUAUGAGUUUUGUGAAUUUAUGAUUAACUAAUAUUUUCUGGGCAUUGGAAUGAUGGAUUUUCAAUAUCUUGAAUUUUUUUCCUUGUAUCACACAUAUUAAUUCAAAAUUACUUGAGUUGUAGUGCAUCAAUAUUUUUAAUCCUAGAUUUUUCCUAGCAGCCCAUGGAAUUGUGUAUUUGUUUGUUGAUUUGUGUUUUGAAAAAAUUGAUUGUUGUGGAAGUUAAAAAUUCUCUCAAUUAUAGCUUUUCCACAACUAUGGUAACAAGUUUUGUUGAUAUUGUGUGCUCUCAUUUUCAUUUUAUUUUUGAACAAGGUGUUAUGAAGAUAAUUAGUAUCAACAAACAGACUUCUGUCGGAUGCAAAGUAAAGAUUUGGAUUGCAGAUUGGUUUGCACAGUUGAACAACAAAAUGGGGGAUGAUUUGAAGAAAAUUCAAACUGUUGGAUAGUGCAUGAUUGAGAUUAGGAAAGUUGUAGGGUUAAAUCUCCAAGGAGAUAAAGUGAAAUUUUUAUGGUCUUCAAUUUUGCAUUAUAAUUCAAAUUUGAGUCAAUUUGUGUUCUUUUAUAUAAGUUCUCAAUUAAUUUUCAAUCUUUGUUCCUAGUUAAAUUUAUAUAAAUUUUCAAUUAAUUCUCAA